GUCACUGGCGUCCUCCAGAGUGCCCACCGAUCGGAAAGUCGUACGAACCGCAAGCUUUGAACGUCUGUUUAUCGCAACAUCGAAAGCGGCGGCACAGAAGACGCGAUGUGAGCUCCGGUGGGAACAGCAGCCCUUUGUCUCGUAACGGAUGUUGCUAUCUCUACAAUAGCCGGAGAAGACGAAACAAGUUUUGCAAUGCACACGGACUGGCUCAGUUGUGAAUGUCACAAAUGCUCCCCUAACGAGGAUCAAAUCAAUGAAAGGAUGGCCUUGAUAAAUAAUAUUCAUGAGGCGAAGAGGAAGUACCCAUACAUGAUGAGCUUUGAGAGGUGACUUUGCAAGACUGACUAAGAUUGACCCAUCACCUUGUAUUGCAAAAGGGAUCAACAAAAUUGUGAAAAUGGCAGAAAUGAAACACAUCCCUGCGAAGCAAGUGUAAUGGC